rnacentral:rRNA from 1 species
GCCGCCGCGGUAAUACGGAAGAUGCGAGCGUUAUCCGGAUUUAUUGGGUUUAAAGGGAGCGUAGGCGGACUGUUAAGUCAGUGGUUAAAUGUCAAGGCCCAACCUUGUCAUGCCGUUGAAACUGGUGGUCUUGAAUACACACAAGGGAGAUGGAAUUCGUCGUGUAGCGGUGAAAUGCUUAGAUAUGACGAAGAACUCCGAUUGCGAAGGCAGUCUCCUGGGGUGCGAUUGACGCUGAGGCUCGAAAGUGCGGGUAUCAAACAGGAUUAGAUACCCC